AUGGUGUCUCUGAACAAGAGGGGUCUUUACUUACAAGACCCAUCUGCGGUUUGAGCCACCUGAGUUGAGUUUUUUUGUAACUCAGAAGUCAGAACCUUCUAGCAGGGUACAACUCGUAACUGGAUUGUAGUUACCGAGGAAGAUAACAUUUGCUUUGCUUGCUUUCCCACUUCGACUCUCUUCUCUCCAAAGAAUGUUCCUGUUUUGCUACUAUGGAUGGUCAGUAUAGAUCAUGGAAUAUCUCAACAUGGGUUCAUAACUCAUCAGGCGAGGUUAAAUUGAGAUGCUGCAAGUGCUAACAUUGUCCGAACAAAUAAUAAUUGAUGACAUGUGUUUUAUAGUUUUUCCAACCUCAACUAGCCGAGCUCAGCAUACACACACAAAGGUAUGUAAAUUGAUGCUCCAAACCUAAUCUCAGUCUCACUUAUUAUUACAGUUCACACCUUCUUUUAUUCCGGAUAUCUUAGGAGCCCACGUACAUUUCUAUCAAGUUGUUUCAGCUAGAUGUCGAGUACUAGGGUUCGUAUUCUUUUGUGUUCAUGUACUACCUUGUAUCAUACCAGAUCAUACUCAUCUUUGUUUUUCCUUUCA